GAUGAAGAACGCAGCGAAAUGCGAUAAGUAAUGUGAAUUGCAGAAUUCAGUGAAUCAUCGAAUCUUUGAACGCACAUUGCGCCCGCCAGUAUUCUGGCGGGCAUGCCUGUUCGAGCGUCAUUUCAACCAUCAAGCCCCCGGCUUGUGUUGGGGACCUGCGGCUGCCGCAGGCCCUGAAAACCAGUGGCGGGCUCGCUAGUCACUCCGAGCGUAGUAAUACAUCUCGCUCAGGGCGUGCUGCGGGUUCCGGCCGUUAAAAAGCCUUAUUUACCCAAGGUUGACCUCGGAUCAGGUAGGAAGACCCGCUGAACUUAAGCAUCUCAAUAAGCGGAGGA
rnacentral:misc_RNA from 1 species